rnacentral:rRNA from 1 species
UGAAACAUCUUCGGGUUGUGAGGUUAAGCGACUAAGCGUACACGGUGGAUGCCCUGGCAGUCAGAGGCGAUGAAGGACGUGCUAAUCUGCGAUAAGCGUCGGUAAGGUGAUAUGAACCGUUAUAACCGGCGAUUUCCGAAUGGGGAAACCCAGUGUGAUUCGUCACACUAUCAUUAACUGAAUCCAUAGGUUAAUGAGGCGAACCGGGGGAACUGAAACAUCUAAGUACCCCGAGGAAAAGAAAUCAACCGAGAUUCCCCCAGUAGCGGCGAGCGAACGGGGAGCAGCCCAGAGCCUGAAUCAGUGUGUGUGUUAGUGGAAGCGUCUGGAAAGGCGCGCGAUACAGGGUGACAGCCCCGUACACAAAAAUGCACAUACUGUGAGCUCGAUGAGUAGGGCGGGACACGUGGUAUCCUGUCUGAAUAUGGGGGGACCAUCCUCCAAGGCUAAAUACUCCUGACUGACCGAUAGUGAACCAGUACCGUGAGGGAAAGGCGAAAAGAACCCCGGCGAGGGGAGUGAAAAAGAACCUGAAACCGUGUACGUACAAGCAGUGGGAGCCUCUUUAUGGGGUGACUGCGUACCUUUUGUAUAAUGGGUCAGCGACUUAUAUUCUGUAGCAAGGUUAACCGAAUAGGGGAGCCGAAGGGAAACCGAGUCUUAACUGGGCGUUAAGUUGCAGGGUAUAGACCCGAAACCCGGUGAUCUAGCCAUGGGCAGGUUGAAGGUUGGGUAACACUAACUGGAGGACCGAACCGACUAAUGUUGAAAAAUUAGCGGAUGACUUGUGGCUGGGGGUGAAAGGCCAAUCAAACCGGGAGAUAGCUGGUUCUCCCCGAAAGCUAUUUAGGUAGCGCCUCGUGAAUUCAUCUCCGGGGGUAGAGCACUGUUUCGGCAAGGGGGUCAUCCCGACUUACCAACCCGAUGCAAACUGCGAAUACCGGAGAAUGUUAUCACGGGAGACACACGGCGGGUGCUAACGUCCGUCGUGAAGAGGGAAACAACCCAGACCGCCAGCUAAGGUCCCAAAGUCAUGGUUAAGUGGGAAACGAUGUGGGAAGGCCCAGACAGCCAGGAUGUUGGCUUAGAAGCAGCCAUCAUUUAAAGAAAGCGUAAUAGCUCACUGGUCGAGUCGGCCUGCGCGGAAGAUGUAACGGGGCUAAACCAUGCACCGAAGCUGCGGCAGCGACACUAUGUGUUGUUGGGUAGGGGAGCGUUCUGUAAGCCUGUGAAGGUGUGCUGUGAGGUAUGCUGGAGGUAUCAGAAGUGCGAAUGCUGACAUAAGUAACGAUAAAGCGGGUGAAAAGCCCGCUCGCCGGAAGACCAAGGGUUCCUGUCCAACGUUAAUCGGGGCAGGGUGAGUCGACCCCUAAGGCGAGGCCGAAAGGCGUAGUCGAUGGGAAACAGGUUAAUAUUCCUGUACUUGGUGUUACUGCGAAGGGGGGACGGAGAAGGCUAUGUUGGCCGGGCGACGGUUGUCCCGGUUUAAGCGUGUAGGCUGGUUUUCCAGGCAAAUCCGGAAAAUCAAGGCUGAGGCGUGAUGACGAGGCACUACGGUGCUGAAGCAACAAAUGCCCUGCUUCCAGGAAAAGCCUCUAAGCAUCAGGUAACAUCAAAUCGUACCCAAACCGACACAGGUGGUCAGGUAGAGAAUACCAAGGCGCUUGAGAGAACUCGGGUGAAGGAACUAGGCAAAAUGGUGCCGUAACUUCGGGAGAAGGCACGCUGAUAUGUAGGUGAAGUCCCUUGCGGAUGGAGCUGAAAUCAGUCGAAGAUACCAGCUGGCUGCAACUGUUUAUUAAAAACACAGCACUGUGCAAACACGAAAGUGGACGUAUACGGUGUGACGCCUGCCCGGUGCCGGAAGGUUAAUUGAUGGGGUUAGCGGUAACGCGAAGCUCUUGAUCGAAGCCCCGGUAAACGGCGGCCGUAACUAUAACGGUCCUAAGGUAGCGAAAUUCCUUGUCGGGUAAGUUCCGACCUGCACGAAUGGCGUAAUGAUGGCCAGGCUGUCUCCACCCGAGACUCAGUGAAAUUGAACUCGCUGUGAAGAUGCAGUGUACCCGCGGCAAGACGGAAAGACCCCGUGAACCUUUACUAUAGCUUGACACUGAACAUUGAGCCUUGAUGUGUAGGAUAGGUGGGAGGCUUUGAAGUGUGGACGCCAGUCUGCAUGGAGCCGACCUUGAAAUACCACCCUUUAAUGUUUGAUGUUCUAACGUUGGCCCCUAAUCGGGGUUGCGGACAGUGUCUGGUGGGUAGUUUGACUGGGGCGGUCUCCUCCUAAAGAGUAACGGAGGAGCACGAAGGUUGGCUAAUCCUGGUCGGACAUCAGGAGGUUAGUGCAAUGGCAUAAGCCAGCUUGACUGCGAGCGUGACGGCGCGAGCAGGUGCGAAAGCAGGUCAUAGUGAUCCGGUGGUUCUGAAUGGAAGGGCCAUCGCUCAACGGAUAAAAGGUACUCCGGGGAUAACAGGCUGAUACCGCCCAAGAGUUCAUAUCGACGGCGGUGUUUGGCACCUCGAUGUCGGCUCAUCACAUCCUGGGGCUGAAGUAGGUCCCAAGGGUAUGGCUGUUCGCCAUUUAAAGUGGUACGCGAGCUGGGUUUAGAACGUCGUGAGACAGUUCGGUCCCUAUCUGCCGUGGGCGCUGGAGAACUGAGGGGGGCUGCUCCUAGUACGAGAGGACCGGAGUGGACGCAUCACUGGUGUUCGGGUUGUCAUGCCAAUGGCACUGCCCGGUAGCUAAAUGCGGAAGAGAUAAGUGCUGAAAGCAUCUAAGCACGAAACUUGCCCCGAGAUGAGUUCUCCCUGACCCUUUAAGGGUCCUGAAGGAACGUUGAAGACGACGACGUUGAUAGGCCGGGUGUGUAAGCGCAGCGAUGCGUUGAGCUAACCGGUACUAAUGAACCGUGAGGCUUAACCUU